rnacentral:rRNA from 1 species
CCUACGGGAGGCAGCAGUGGGGAAUAUUGGGCAAUGGUGGCAACCCUGACCCAGCAACGCCGCGUGAAUGAUGAAGGUCUUCGGAUUGUAAAGUUCUGUGAGUGGGGAUGAACACAAUGACGGUACCCCAAUGGCAAGUCAAGGCUAACUACGUGCACGCAGCCGCGGUAAUCCGUAGGUGGCGAGCGUUAUCCGGAGUGACUGGGCCAAAAGGUUGAGUAGGGGGAGGCAAAGGGCGGGGGGAAAAUUGCGGGGUUCAACCCCGCUCGGCCGUUGAGACUGGGUCUCUUGAGUGCGCGAAGGGUAGGCGGAAUGCGUGGUGUAGCGGUGAAAUGCAUAGAUAUCGCGAAGAACUCCGAUCGCGAAGGCAGCCUGCCGGCUCGAAACUGACGCUCAUGCACGAAAGCGUGGGUAUCGAACAGGAUUAGAUACCCUUGUAGUC